rnacentral:rRNA from 1 species
CCUAAUACAUGCAAGUCGAACGCGAAAGCUCCUUCGGGAGUGAGUAGAGUGGCGAACGGGUGAGUAACACGUAGGAAUCUACCCAAGAGUGGGGGACAACCCGGAGAAAUCCGGGCUAAUACCGCAUAUGCCCUACGGGGUAAAGUGGGGGACCUUUCGGGGCCUCAUGCUUUUGGAUGAGCCUGCGUCGGAUUAGCUUGUUGGUGAGGUAAUGGCUCACCAAGGCGACGAUCCGUAGCUGGUCUGAGAGGAUGACCAGUCACACUGGGACUGAGACACGGCCCAGAUUCCUACGGGAGGCAGCAGUAGGGAAUAUUGGACAAUGGGGGCAACCCUGAUCCAGCCAUGCCGCGUGUGUGAAGAAGGCCUUAGGGUUGUAAAGCACUUUCAGUAGGGAAGAAAAGCUCAAGGAUAAUACCCUUGGGUCUUGACGGUACCUACACAAGAAGCACCGGCUAAUUCCGUGCCAGCAGCCGCGGUAAUACGGAAGGUGCAAGCGUUAAUCGGAAUUACUGGGCGUAAAGCGCGCGUAGGCGGUUAGAUAAGUCGGGUGUGAAAGCCCUGGGCUCAACCUGGGAACUGCAUUCGAUACUGUCUGACUAGAGUGUGAUAGAGGGAGGCGGAAUUCCACAUGUAGCGGUGAAAUGCGUAGAGAUGUGGAGGAACACCAAUGGCGAAGGCAGCCUCCUGGAUUAACACUGACGCUGAGGUGCGAA